rnacentral:sRNA from 1 species
ACCUAAAAGCACUGAUAGUGGAUCGGGA